rnacentral:rRNA from 1 species
UCGUGGGGCAGCAGGGGCGUAGCAAUACGCUCGCUGGCGACCGGCAAACGGGUGCGGAACACGUACACAACCUUCCUUGAAGUGGGGAAUAGCCCGGGGAAACCCGGAUUAAUACCCCGUAAUAUAAUGAAGCGGCAUCGUUUUAUUAUUAAAGCUCCGGCGCUUUAAGAUGGGUGUGCGACUGAUUAGGCAGUUGGCGGGGUAACGGCCCACCAAACCUACGAUCAGUAACUGGUGUGAGAGCACGACCAGUCACACGGGCACUGAGACACGGGCCCGACUCCUACGGGAGGCAGCAGUAAGGAAUAUUGGUCAAUGGACGCAAGUCUGAACCAGCCAUGCCGCGUGGAGGAUGAAGGUCCUCUGGAUUGUAAACUUCUUUUAUCUGGGAAGAAACCCAUGAAUUCUUUUGUGGUUGACGGUACCAGAUGAAUAAGCACCGGCUAACUCCGUGCCAGCAGCCGCGGUAAUACGGAGGGUGCAAGCGUUAUCCGGAUUCACUGGGUUUAAAGGGUGCGUAGGUGGGUUGGUAAGUCAGUGGUGAAAUCUCCAGGCUUAACUUGGAAACUGCCAUUGAUACUAUCAAUCUUGAAUACCGUGGAGGUCAGCGGAAUAUGUCAUGUAGCGGUGAAAUGCUUAGAUAUGACAUAGAACACCAAUUGCGAAGGCAGCUGGCUACACGGAUAUUGACACUGAUGCACGAAAGCGUGGGGAUCAAACAGGAUUAGAUACCCUGGUAGUCCACGCCCUAAACGAUGGGUACUCGACAUACGCGAUAUACUGUGUGUGUCUGAGCGAAAGCAUUAAGU